rnacentral:rRNA from 1 species
AGAGUUUGAUCCUGGCUCAGGAUGAACGCUGGCGGCGUGCUUAACACAUGCAAGUCGAACGAGCCUUCGGGCUAGUGGCGGACGGGUGAGUAACGCGUGGGAAUCUGCCCUCAGGAGGGGGAUAACGGCCGGAAACGGCCGCUAAUACCCCAUAUGCCGAGAGGUGAAAUGAAUUUCGCCUGAGGAUGAGCCCGCGUCUGAUUAGCUAGUUGGUGGGGUAAUGGCCCACCAAGGCGACGAUCAGUAGCUGGUCUGAGAGGAUGAUCAGCCACACUGGGACUGAGACACGGCCCAGACUCCUACGGGAGGCAGCAGUGGGGAAUUUUCCGCAAUGGGCGAAAGCCUGACGGAGCAACGCCGCGUGAGGGAUGAAGGCCUCUGGGCUGUAAACCUCUUUUCUCAAGGAAGAAGACAUGACGGUACUUGAGGAAUAAGCCACGGCUAAUUCCGUGCCAGCAGCCGCGGUAAUACGGGAGUGGCAAGCGUUAUCCGGAAUUAUUGGGCGUAAAGCGUCCGCAGGCGGCCUUGUAAGUCUGUCGUUAAAGCGUGGAGCUUAACUCCAUUUCAGCGAUGGAAACUACAAGGCUUGAGUGUGGUAGGGGCAGAGGGAAUUCCCGGUGUAGCGGUGAAAUGCGUAGAUAUCGGGAAGAACACCAGUGGCGAAGGCGCUCUGCUGGGCCAUAACUGACGCUCAUGGACGAAAGCCAGGGGAGCGAAAGGGAUUAGAUACCCCUGUAGUCCUGGCCGUAAACGAUGAACACUAGGUGUCGGGGGAAUCGACCCCCUCGGUGUCGUAGCUAACGCGUUAAGUGUUCCGCCUGGGGAGUACGCACGCAAGUGUGAAACUCAAAGGAAUUGACGGGGGCCCGCACAAGCGGUGGAGUAUGUGGUUUAAUUCGAUGCAACGCGAAGAACCUUACCAGGGUUUGACAUCCUGCGAAUCCCUUGGAAACGAGGGAGUGCCUUCGGGAGCGCAGAGACAGGUGGUGCAUGGCUGUCGUCAGCUCGUGUCGUGAGAUGUUGGGUUAAGUCCCGCAACGAGCGCAACCCACGUCUUUAGUUGCCAGCAUUCAGUUGGGCACUCUAGAGAGACCGCCGGUGAUAAACCGGAGGAAGGUGUGGAUGACGUCAAGUCAUCAUGCCCCUUACAUCCUGGGCUACACACGUACUACAAUGCUACGGACAAAGGGUUGCAAGCUCGCGAGAGUUAGCUAAUCCCAUAAACCGUGGCUCAGUUCAGAUCGUAGGCUGCAACUCGCCUACGUGAAGGAGGAAUCGCUAGUAAUCGCAGGUCAGCAUACUGCGGUGAAUACGUUCCCGGGCCUUGUACACACCGCCCGUCACACCAUGGAAGUUGGCCAUGCCCGAAGUCGUUACUCCAACCCUUGUGGAGGAGGACGCCGAAGGUGGGGCUGAUGACUGGGGUGAAGUCGUAACAAGGUAGCCGUACCGGAAGGUGCGGCUGGAUCACCUCCU